CUUGAGAGUGAUGAGUUGCACCAUCUGUUGGGACACCAGUGCAGUGGCACAGGAAUCCCAGUCUGAUCUCCUGAGGACACGCCCAUGUGCACAGGGGCCAUCUGACUCACU